rnacentral:rRNA from 1 species
UAGUCCACGCCGUAAACGAUGCACACUAGGUCGGGGAGGUUUGACGCCCUCCUGGCCGAAGCAAAAGUGUUUAGUGUGCCGCCUGGGGAGUACGGUCGCAAGGCUAAAACUCAAAGGAAUUGACGGGGGCUCACACAAGCGGUGGAGCAUGUGGCUUAAUUCGAAGCAACGCGAAGAACCUUAUCCAGGGUUUGACAUCCCGGGAUUAAACCCGUCGAAAGACGGUCUACACCCUUUGGGUGGAACGGUGACAGGUGCUGCAUGGCUGUCGUCAGCUCGUGCUGUGAAGUGUCGGGUUAAGUCCCUUAACGAGCGCAACCCCUAUCGUUAGUUGCUAACAGGUAAUGCUGAGGACUCUAGCGAGACUGCCGGUGUCAAACCGGAGGAAGGUGGGGAUGGACGUCAAGUCCUCAUGGCCUUUAUGCCCUGGGCUGCACACGUGCUACAAUGGUAGGUACAGAACGAUGCAAACCGCGAGGUCGAGCAAAUCGCUAAAACCUGCCCCAGUUCGGAUUGGAGG